rnacentral:hammerhead_ribozyme from 1 species
AAUCAGCUGACGAGUCUUACAUAGGACGAAGCACGCGUCAAACUGAAU